GGCUCUCUUGGGGGUUGGCAGCUACCAAAGAAGUUGGAGGUUGCUGAUCUGUGCUCCUGGGACACCUUUGGAUCAUCUUACAAGCAGCCCUCUGAAGCAGGAGUGGAUGGGAGCUUUUCAAUGCCCUUAGGUGGACAAAGGGACAAUACUGGGAGCUUCAGCCAUUCUCUGGACCAUCUAGGACUCCUCAUCUGGACUCCAGCCUCUACUUGCCAAAAGACUCUAUAUGGUGCAGGGGAGACUAGCAUCUUUGGCGUGAGGGCUUGCUCAGCCCUUUUCAGGGCUGUUCAUGCAUCUUUGGUGUCCACCUUCCAUCCAACUCUCUCCUGUAACUCCAAGGAGCUAAAGCAGGAAGCCGCCACCUCCUUGUAAAACAGCUAAGCAGAUGGGCUAAAUCAGGUUGAAGUAACUGACAUGGGCCUCCCUAUUCCUUGAGACCCAGCAAUAUUGAAGUUAGGUCAAUUAAUAAGCCAACAGUGACCUUCAAGUAUUCAAGCCAAAGGAAGAGUCUAUCAAUGGGGCAAACUUCAUUGUUGUCUUAUAUUAAGAAAUUGCUACAAUCCAUUGCAACCUUUACCAAUCACCCAGCUGAUUAGUCAGGAGCAAGACCCUGAAUCAACAAAAAGAUUCCUACUCCCUGAAGGCUCAAACGAUGGUUAGCAUUUUUAACAAAACUAUUUUUUUUAAACUAAGAGUUCAGGAAAAGUGGAGAGAAUGAAUAAAGAACUAAAACCAAUAAUUGGUAAAUUAUGUGUAGAAACACACUUGAAAUGGCCUGAUAUUUUGCCAUUAGCUUUAUUUUACCUAAGAACUAGACCAAGAGGAGAUUUGCACAUAUCACCAUAUGAAAUGUCAUUUUGACUUCCACCCAUACAAGCAAAGACAUUUAGCUCUAUUUAUGCCUCAAUGUUAACUGGUAACACGAUAAUUGAAGAAUAUAUUAGAGAUUUGCAGAUUAAGAUCAAGGAAUUAUAAGAAUUAGGACCAAUAGUGCAAACAAGGACCUAUAGACUUUUUGUUUCCUGAUCUACAUCCUGGGGAUACAGUGUAUGUAAAGAACUUUCAAUGCACUGGAGGAACUCAGCCAGUCUGGGAAGGUCCAUUUUAAGUACUCUUGACAAUCUCUACAACCAUCAAGAUAGGAGAAAAAACAGCAUGGAUACAUUGUUCAAAUGUGAAAAAGGGACCUGCCAUCUAAAAUGAUUAGCUGCAUACAUAGAGGACAAGACUACAGAUACAACUGGACAUUUUUUAAAGGACUUUGAAAUUCAAGAAGACUACAAAUGGACAAUUGGACAAUAUUUACAAGAACACUCCAUUACUACAAGGACUACUACAAAUGGACAUAAGUUUAAGGAUAUUGAACUUUGCACUUAAAUAAAGGUUUCUCAUACAUAAAGGUUUGAAAUGGAAUGUAAUGGGUAAGUGUAUAAUUUAUUAUGCUAUUUUAUUAUGUUAUUUGUUAUAUAUUAUGUUAUAGGAUUUAUUAGUUUUUAUGUAGAAAUAAUUAUAAUAACAAUACUUUUAUAGGAUUAUAGAAAAAGCUAUAGAUAUAAUGUAAUUUUAAAGGAAAAAGUUAAAAGUAACUAAAUGGUAAAAUGUUAUAACUGUUGAUCAAGAUCCUCCUCAGGGGCGUUAUAUUAGAUGUAUAAUAUAUUAGAAAAUAUAUUAGAUAUAUUAAUGUAUAAAUACAUAUAUUGAGAUUAGAUCCACCUCA